rnacentral:lncRNA from 1 species
CACUGUUCGCAGCUACAAGCUGAGGUACAAGGUGCCUCAAAAGCUUGAGAGAAGCAGAAAUAGAAUAGAAUCCUGACCUGUGAAAACAAUGACUCUGCAAUAAGGUGCAGAGUUGGCUGGAUGUGAAGGCUCACACCUGUAAUCCCAGCACUUUGGGAGGCCGAGGCAGGCAGAUCACAUGAAGCCAGGCGUUCAAGAUCAGCCUGGCCAACAUGGCAAAACCCUGUCUCUACCAAAAAUACAAAAAUCAGCUGGGUGUGGUGGCAUGCGCCUGGAAUCCCAGCUACUCAAGAGGCUGAGGUGGGAGAAUCAUUUGAACCUGGAAGGCAUAGGUUGCAGUGAGCCAAGAUCACACCACUGCACUCUACCCGAAAAUUCCCUAUUUGCUCCUAAUAAACACAA